UCAACUGACCUUCACCUUGUCACAACAUAUAUCGACGAUACAAUGUAACUUCUACCAACUGGUAGAUUUACAACAACAAAAAAUAAAGAUACAAAAUAAUUGAACUUUUAAUUAUACAAAUAAUAGAAUAUUGUAUUUCCUAACUUUAAAGGUCAACUGAAACGAUUUUCAAAGUUCGUUUUUCAAAUAAAUUCCGUAAGAAAAUACCAUUCCUUAAAUGUUUUCACAUAAGAAUAAUUUUUGUUUCGAUCAUCCAGGUAGAUACGACAUCGUUAAUUUCAACCCGGUAAAUUUUAUUGUAUGAGUUAUCUGCCCUUUAGGCGAACCUGAUAUUUCAAUAUGGCGGCACGAUAUGAAAAUCAUUCGGAAGAUUGUAUUCCUGAAAUAGAUAUAUCGCUUAGUGUUAAUGUGCAGCCCUGCCAAUAUGAACCAGUUGUACAGCGAGACGCAUCCCCACUAGUGGAAAACGAUAGUUAUUCAGAAAACAGCGAGGAUCAAUCGGACGAAUGCCCUUCACCUGUUCACCAUCUGAUAUGCGAGGUCGAUAUGCAAUGGUUUGUUAAUUUAGGCUAAUUAUUUAUAUGAGACUUUUAAUGAAAACGAAACGAUUACUCAAAGCUCAGAAGUGCAUCAGCAUGUAUUUCUAAGACUAGUUUUCUAUUAUUCUAACAGGUGAUCAUAUAGGCUAGUAAUGUCAUCGCAAUGCCCUCAAGAAGGGAGUCCAAAUGUUGCAGUGCAUAGGAUUGAAGAGGUGGGCGUGUCCUGCAUCACAGAUCACGAAGGUUUUGUUGUGGCAAACUGUCUCAACAGAUUGGUUAUAGGAACAGCUUAUUAUGAAUGCAUACAAAAUAUUGGUCCCUUGGAGGAGGGGGAAUUGAUUCACAAAUUUUACAGACAUCAUGCAUAUUGGAGAUCUGGUAGUAGCUUGGGAAAAACAAUUGGAAAGUUCUUCUAUCCUGCGUUGUGACUAUGAUAAGAAAUCAUUCCAUCACAACAGUACUGUGGAUUUAAAUACCCUUUGGUAUUAAUUUAAAUGUGUGAUAAAUUCUUAAUGCAUUUUUCAUAAGUGAUAUAAAUAAAUAUAAACAAGUAAACAUA